AGUGAACGCUGGCGGUAGGCCUAACACAUGCAAGUCGAACGGCAGCACAGUAAGAGCUUGCUCUUACGGGUGGCGAGUGGCGGACGGGUGAGGAAUACAUCGGAAUCUACUUUUUCGUGGGGGAUAACGUAGGGAAACUUACGCUAAUACCGCAUACGACCUACGGGUGAAAGCAGGGGAUCGUCGGACCUUGCGCGAUUGAAUGAGCCGAUGUCGGAUUCGCUAGUUGGCGGGGUAAAGGCCCACCAAGGCGACGCUCCGUAGCUGGUCUGAGAGGAUGAUCCGUCACACUGGAGCUGAGACGCGCUCCCGACCCCGACGGGAGACAGCAGUGGGGAACAUUGGACAAUGGGCGCAAGCCUGAUCCAGCCAUACCGCGUGGGUGAAGUAGGCCUUCGGGUCGUAAAGCCCUUUUGUUGGGAAAGAAAAGCAGCAGGUUACUACCCCUCUGUUCGGCCGGUACCCAAAGAAUAAGCACCGGCUAACUUCGU
rnacentral:rRNA from 1 species